UACGUAGGCAGCAAGCGUUGUUCGGAGUUACUGGGCGUAAAGGGUGCGUAGGCGGCUUUUUAAGUUUGGUGUGAAAUCUCCCGGCUCAACUGGGAGGGUGCGCCGAAUACUGAGAAGCUAGAGUGUGGGAGAGGAAAGUGGAAUUCCUGGUGUAGCGGUGAAAUGCGUAGAUAUCAGGAGGAACACCGGUGGCGAAGGCGGCCUGCUGGGCUAUGGCUGACACUGAGGCGCGACAGCGUGGGGAGCAAACAGG
rnacentral:rRNA from 1 species